CCUACGGGAGGCUGCAGUGAGGAAUAUUGGUCAAUGGGCGGGAGCCUGAACCAGCCAAGUCGCGUGAGGGAAGACGGUCCUGAGUAUUGUAAACCUCUUUUGCCAGGGGGCAAAGGCGGCCACGGGUGGCCGUAAGAGGGUACCCGGCAAAAUAGCAUAGGCUAACCCCGUGCCAGCAGCCGCGGUAAGACGGAGGAUGCGAGCGUUAUCCGGAUUUAUUGGGUUUAAAGGGUGCGCAGGCGGCGUGUUAAGUCAGCGGUAAAAUGUCGGGGCUCAACCCCGGCCGGCCGUUGAAACUGGGGUGCUCGAGUUGGAGAGAAGUAUGCGGAAUGCGUGGUGUAGCGGUGAAAUGCAUAGAUAUCACGAAGAACCCCGAUUGCGAAGGCAGCAUACCGGCUCCACACUGACGCUGAGGCACGAAAGCGUGGGGAGCGAACAGGAUUAGAUACCCUUGUAGUC
rnacentral:rRNA from 1 species